UACGUAGGAGGCGAACGUUAUUCGGAUUUAUUGGGCGUAAAGCGGGUGUAGACGGCUUUUUAAGUCGGUUGUCAAAUCUCCUGACUCAAUUAGGAGGAGCCAAUCGAUACUGAGAAGCUUGAGGACAGCAGAAGAAAGUGGAAUUCCCGGUGUAGCGGUGAUAUGCGUAGAUAUCGGGAGGAAUACCAGUGGCGAAGGCGGCUUUCUAGGUUGUUCCUGACGUUGAUGCCCAAAAGCGUGGGGAG
rnacentral:rRNA from 1 species